UACGUAGGGCGCAAGCGUUUAUCCGGAAUUAUUGGGCGUAAAGAGCUCGUAGGCGGUUUGUCGCGUCUGCCGUGAAAGUCCAGGGCUCAACCCUGGGAUGCCGGUCGAUACUGCCGGACUAGAGUUCGGAAGAGGCGAGUGGAAUUCCCGGUGUAGCGGUGAAAUGCGCAGAUAUCGGGAGGAACACCAAUGGCGAAGGCAGCUCGCUGGGACGUUACUGACGCUGAGACGCGAAAGCGUGGGGAGCAAACAGG
rnacentral:rRNA from 1 species